rnacentral:snRNA from 1 species
ACUUCAACUGCCUUUUUCAUAAUAAACAAGUCUUUCGCCUUUUUCUAAAGACUUCUGUCGAGAAGAAUGCCAAGGAAUUAAAUCCAUUUUUGGCAGGCUUUGCUUUUUGGCAGAGC